UACGUAGGGUGCGAGCGUUAAUCGGAAUUACUGGGCGUAAAGCGUGCGCAGGCGGUGAUGUAAGACAGCUGUGAAAUCCCCGGGCUCAACCUGGGAACUGCAUUUGUGACUGCAUCGCUGGAGUGCGGCAGAGGGGGAUGGAAUUCCGCGUGUAGCAGUGAAAUGCGUAGAUAUGCGGAGGAACACCGAUGGCGAAGGCAAUCCCCUGGGCCUGCACUGACGCUCAUGCACGAAAGCGUGGGGAGCAAACAGG
rnacentral:rRNA from 1 species